GUGCCAGCAGCCGCGGUAAUACGUAGGUGGCAAGCGUUAUCCGGAAUUACCGGGCGUAAAGCGCGCGCAGGUGGUUUCUUUAAGUCUUGAUGUGAAAGCCCACGGCUCAACCGUGGAGGGUUCAUUGGAAACUGGGAGACUUGAGUGCAGAAGAGGAAAGUGGAAUUCCAUGUGUAGCGGUGAAAUGCGUAGAGAUAUGGAGGAACACCAGUGGCGAAUGCUGACUUUUCUGGUCUGUAACUGACACUGAGGCGCGAAAGCGUGGGGAGCAAACAAGAUUAGAUACCCUGGUUAGUC
rnacentral:rRNA from 1 species